GUGGGGAAUAUUGGACAAUGGGCGAAAGCCUGAUCCAGCCAUGCCGCGUGUGUGAAGAAGGUCUUCGGAUUGUAAAGCACUUUAAGUUGGGAGGAAGGGCAUUAACCUAAUACGUUAGUGUUUUGACGUUACCGACAGAAUAAGCACCGGCUAACUUCGUGCCAGCAGCCGCGGUAAUACGAAGGGUGCAAGCGUUAAUCGGAAUUACUGGGCGUAAAGCGCGCGUAGGUGGUUCAGUAAGUUGGAUGUGAAAUCCCCGGGCUCAACCUGGGAACUGCCUCCAAAACUGCAUGACUAGAGUACGGUAGAGGGUAGUGGAAUUUCCUGUGUAGCGGUGAAAUGCGUAGAUAUAGGAAGGAACACCAGUGGCGAAGGCGACUACCUGGACUGAUACUGACACUGAGGUGCGAAAGCGUGGGGAGCAAACAGGAUUAGAAACCCUUGUAGUCC
rnacentral:rRNA from 1 species